rfam:Vibrio sp. 2756-81 Vn_2756-81_contig1, whole genome shotgun sequence.
CCAUCUGUAUCACCAGAUGACCCUAGGAUCCGGAAUAAAGCAGCGGAUCCGACAAUGUAACGAAACUCAGCCGUUAGGCUGAGUGGGAAUGGAAUCGUGAGAGGACGUUCCUCCUGAUAACCACAAAUUGGGUGUGCGA